rnacentral:tmRNA from 1 species
GGGGGUGAAUCAGCUUCGACAAGCGCCGUUGAACCGAAAGCCGCAGGCCCGGGUUGGUCAGGACCCGGUCAAAACCAGACCAAACAACAACUGCCAACACUCCGUUGGCCUGGGCCACUGCCUAACCCGCAGUGAGCGCACGCCGGUCCUCGACUCCUGCUGGAGGGUCGCCGGCGUCAAGAGCAGGAUGCGGUCCUUCCCCGUGAUCCCGUGGGCGGGGGGCCUAAGACCGAACGGGGUUAGUCCGGGGAGCACUCGUCCGCCGGUUUUCCCCGGGCGAAACUGACGGCGGGCUAAGCCUGUAGCGGCCUCGGCCGGCGACGUUUGGACGCGGGUGCAACUCCCGCCACCUCCACCA